AUUGAACGCUGGCGGAGUGCUUUACACAUGCAAGUCGAACGGCAGCACGGACUUCGGUCUGGUGGCGAGUGGCGAACGGGUGAGUAAUGUAUCGGAACGUGCCCAGUCGUGGGGGAUAACGAAGUGAAAAUUACGCUAAUACCGCAUACGAUCUAUGGAUGAAAGCGGGGGAGCGCAAGACCUCGCAAGAUUGGAGCGGCCGGAAUUAGAUUAGGUAGUUGGUGGGGUAAAGGCCCACCAAGCCAACGAUCUGUAGCUGGUCUGAGAGGACGACCAGCUACACUGGAACUGAGACACGGUCCAGACUCAUACGGGAGGCAGCAGUGGGGAAUUUUGGACAAUGGGCGAAAGCCUGAUCCAGCCAUUCCGCGUGCAGGAUGAAGGCCCUCGGGUUGUAAACUGCUUUUGUACAGAACGAAAAGGUUUCUACUAAUACUAGGAGCUCAUGACGGUACUGUAAGAAUAAGCACCGGCUAACUACGUGCCAGCAGCCGCCGUAA
rnacentral:rRNA from 1 species